AUGUCUAGUCUCAAUCUCAGUGUUCUUAACUGGAAUGUACGUGGGUUGAAUUGUCCCAAUAGAAGAGUUGCUGUCAACACCACUAUUGCUGCUUCUGCGUGUCAACUCGCCUGAUUACAAGAAUAUAAGCUCGAAAAUGUCGAUGCUUCCACUGCUGCUUUCCUUGGUGGUUACAGAUUGAAGGGCUUUGCCCAGCGCCCUGCUUUGGGCACGCGCGGAGGGAUUCUGAUGCUGUGGGAUGAUGAGCAUGUCUGCGUCGAAAAUGUGCACUACGGUGACUACACCCUCUCGGCUAGGAUCACAAUUAUUGCCACUAAUACUUCCUUCAAGCUAACCACUGUCUAUGGUCCAACUAGAGACAAUCUGAAAGAUGUUUUUUUUUCAGAGAUGAAGGAUGCAAAGCCGCACUUGGGGGAAAGGUGGCUCAUCACAUGUGACUUCAACCAGAUUGAUCGGGCUAGAGACAAGAACCGCUCCAAUGCUAACCGUAGCCGCAUCACGCGUUUCUGGAAUGCUCUCAAUUUCUGCGAGCUAAAAGAAAUCCACCUGCAGAAUAGAAGGUUUACUUGAAGCAACGAACAGAACAACCCGACCAUGUCCAAGCUUGAUGGUUUCUUUUGCAAUGAGGAUUGGGAUAUCACGUUUGAUAAGCACAUCCUCCAUGCCUUAUCCUCUUCUCUCUCCGACCAUUUCCCCCUUCUCCUGGCAAAUGAUGACGGGCCUCGGCGACCUCGGACUUUCUGCUUCGAGAACUUUUGGACCAAUAUGCCAGGCUUUUCCCAGGUUGUCCAUGAUGCUUGGAAUGAGCCCUCUCCGCACCAUGAUCCUUACUGAAGGUUGUUCCAGAAACUGAAAUGGACUGGUCAAAAGCUUCGUUCUUGGAGUAAAACCCUCUUCUCCAAUGCCAAGAUUCAGCUACAUAUGGCCUUGGAGAUCAUCCUUCGCCUCGAUGAGGCACAGGACGUGCGGAUGCUUAGCCCCGAAGAAGCGGAUAUCCGGAAAAGGCUAAAGAAAAGAGUGGUGGGCCUUGCGGUCAUGGAAAGAGCCAGAAAGAGACAAAGCUCCAGAAUCACCAACAUCAAAGAGGGAGAUGCGAAUACAAAAACUUUUCACCUUAGGGUAAAUGGUCGGCGGAGGAAAAAUCUUAUACACCGCCUCAAGCAAGGCAAUGGCUGGGUGACGGAUCAUGAUCACAAAAAAAAUAUCAUCCACUCUCCUUUCACGGAGGUUAUGAAAAGGGGUACCCUGCGUACAAAGACCAUCAAUUGGGCUGCCAUCCCCCGUGCUGACCAUGACCUCACAGCGCUUGGUGAUGCUAUUACGGAGGAUGAAGUCAAGGCUGCGGUCUUCGCCCUUCCUAGUGACAAAGCCCCGGGGUCGGAUGGAUUCACUGAAAAAAUCUUCAAGACCUGCUAG
rnacentral:rRNA from 1 species